rnacentral:rRNA from 1 species
GAUGAACGCUGGCGGCGUGCCUAAUACAUGCAAGUCGAGCGAACAGACGAGGAGCUUGCUCCUCUGACGUUAGCGGCGGACGGGUGAGUAACACGUGGAUAACCUACCUAUAAGACUGGGAUAACUUCGGGAAACCGGAGCUAAUACCGGAUAAUAUAUUGAACCGCAUGGUUCAAUAGUGAAAGACGGUUUUGCUGUCACUUAUAGAUGGAUCCGCGCCGCAUUAGCUAGUUGGUAAGGUAACGGCUUAACAAGGCAACGAUGCGUAGCCGACCUGAGAGGGUGAUCGGCCACACGGGAACUGAGACACAGUCCAGACUCCUGCGGGGGGCAGCAGUAGGGAAUCUUCCGCGAUGGGCGAAAGCCUGACGGAGCAACGCCGCGGGAGUGAUGAAGGUCUUCGGAUCGUAAAACUCUGUUAUUAGGGAAGAACAAAUGUGUAAGUAACUAUGCACGUCUUGACGGUACCUAAUCAGAAAGCCACGGCUAACUACGUG